UACGAAGGGGGCUAGCGUUGCUCGGAAUCACUGGGCGUAAAGCGCACGUAGGCGGCUUUCUAAGUCAGGGGUGAAAUCCUGGAGCUCAACUCCAGAACUGCCUUUGAUACUGGGGAGCUCGAGUCCGGAAGAGGUGAGUGGAACUCCGAGUGUAGAGGUGAAAUUCGUAGAUAUUCGGAAGAACACCAGUGGCGAAGGCGGCUCACUGGUCCGGUACUGACGCUGAGGUGGCGAAAGCGUGGGGAGCAAACAGG
rnacentral:rRNA from 1 species